rnacentral:rRNA from 1 species
UACGUAGGUGGCAAGCGUUGUCCGGCAUUAUUGGGCGUAAAGGGCUCGUAGGCGGUUUGUCGCGUCGGGAGUGAAAACUCAGGGCUUAACCCUGAGCCUGCUUCCGAUACGGGCAGACUAGAGGUAUGCAGGGGAGAACGGAAUUCCUGGUGUAGCGGUGAAAUGCGCAGAUAUCAGGAGGAACACCGGUGGCGAAGGCGGGUCUCUGGGCCGAUACUGACGCUGAGGAGCGAAAGCGUGGGGAGCGAACAGG